AAAAAUAAUGUAGAAUUCACCUGUUUGGCCGAAUCUGGGGGCGAUGGGGCCAAGAGCCUGUGUGACCCUGCGGCGACCAGCCCGGCGAGCACAACCCUUACGAGACAUCAGAGAAUCCACUGCUCUCCGGUGGAAAACCUGAAGGAGAAGGGGAAAAUAUGAAAACCAUGGGAGAAGAUGAUGCCCUCGCUGCUCGUCCCUGCAGCAACGCUCGUUUGCAGACCUUCGUUAGGAGAACAAAGGAUCGGCAGAACAUAUUGGGAGUAAAAGAUGCUGGAUUGAUUCGCUCCCCCCAGCUUUUAUUGCAGGUUCACGGUGUGGGGAGGGGGGACCUUGGUGUCGAUAAAUCACUGCUCCUCAUCAGCUGCGCUAAUUAAGACCCUUAAUGAAGCUGCCUCGGUGCCAGCACCCCAGUACUCAGCCAUGGGCACCCAAUGCCAACCCAACCCCAACCCAACCCCAGAUCUUCUCGGAUAUUGAGACGAGGUUGGCUCAGCAGCAGCAGUUCUGGGGGGUCAGUGGGGUUCGGAGCUGCUGGAUGGGGUGGAGUGGGAAAAGGGAUCUCGAGAAGGACCCAACACGUCCCCAAACGGCUUCACGACCUUUCCCGGCUCUGCCUUCCCCUCUCCUUGCUCUUUUCCCUAUCUCUUUUAUGUUCUCCCGCUGCAGGGAUUUCCUUCGCUGUUGCACGUUUCACUUGUGGUGCAGUGCGGGAGAAAGAGUGGGGCUCACCCGAGCUCCGCAGCACCAGGCGAGGGAGCCCCAAAACCUUCUCUUUUCCCCCCAAAAAAUAAGGGGAGCGCAGCUCGGCUGGAGAAACGCAGGGACUGGGCUGGGAGCGUCGAGGAGGAUCCACGGAGGGAGGGGUCGGGAAUGCAAAACCCCUCCAGGACGCAGCACGGUCACCCCAGCACAACCCCAGAGCUGCCACCAGAGAAUCUCCACUGGGUCAGCAUGAGCCAAACCAGCCUGUGUUCUUAUCACCUUCCUCCCAGCCCUUCUCAGAGAGCUUCAAACAAGUCCCAAGCCCUCAAUAAAUCGCUGUCCUCUGGCUGCGGCACGUCCCGCGGCGUCCUGGCCGGACAGGCGCUAUCUCCAAUCCUACUGCGCUGUCGGAGUAAAUCUCGCGGCUCUCCCAGCAUUGCUGAGACCCCAAUAAAUAUC